CAGUCCACGUGUCAUUAUUGUCACCACAUCCGUCAUCUCUAAGAAGUUGUAUAUGCACUUGUGCCACGGUAGAAGACACAAACCUUGUCACAGCAGACUUCAAACACGGGAUAACACAGGUCGUAAACAAGCACAACAAUACCAGCACAGCAAGC